AGAACGAACGCUGGCGGCAUGCCUAAUACAUGCAAGUCGAACGAACUCUUCGGAGUUAGUGGCGCACGGGUGCGUAACGCGUGGGAAUCUGCCCUUGGGUUCGGAAUAACAGUUGGAAACGACUGCUAAUACCGGAUGAUGACGAAAGUCCAAAGAUUUAUCGCCCAGGGAUGAGCCCGCGUAGGAUUAGCUAGUUGGUGAGGUAAGGCUCACCAAGGCGACGAUCCUUAGCUGGUCUGAGAGGAUGAUCAGCCACACUGGGACUGAGACACGGCCCAGACUCCGUACGGGAGGCAGCAAGUAGGGAAUAUUGGACAAUGGGACGAAAGCCUAGAUCCAGCAAUGCCGCGUGAGUGAGUGAAGCGUUAAGGUUGUAAAGCUUACUUUACCGAGACGUAGA
rnacentral:rRNA from 1 species